rnacentral:sRNA from 2 species
ACAAUAUGGUUGGAGGUGAGUCAGAUUCCCGACAAUUCAGUAACUUCCAACGGACAGAAUACCCCAGUUCCACAAAGGAAUGUAUUGUUGCGAAAAGGAAUUCUUCAUGCCUCUGUUGCAAACCUGCUGUUUCCUCCAUAGUCACAACCCUGGGCUUCGUCGCCUCCAGUAAUUCGCGCGUGCAGAAGAUACAUGCUUCAUUAUCUUCAUCCAUGGCAGCUGCAACUGUUUUUGCAGGUGAAAAUGUCUGGCAAGGA